UACCCAAUCCCGAUUCGGGGAGGUAGUGACAAUAAAUAAAAUACAGGGCCAACGGUCUUGUUAUUGGAAUGAGAACAAUUUAAAUAACUUAACGAGGAUCAAUUAGAGGGCAAGUCUGGUGCCAGCAGCCGCGGUAAUUCCAACUCUAAUAGCGUAUAUUAAAGUUGUUGCAGUUAAAAAGCUCGUAGUCGGAUGUCGGGCUCGGGCAGGCUGUCGGCUUCGGUCGGACGGCAGGCUCGGGUCUUUCUGCCUGAGGAUCCCGUUGCACUUAAUUGUGGGGCGUGGGGACGCAGGCCGUUUACUUUGGAAAAAUUAGAGUGUUCAAAGCAGGCCUACGCUUGAAUACAUUAGCAUGGAAUAAUGGAAUAGGACUUUGGUGCUAUUUUGUUGGUUUAUGGGACCGAAGUAAUGAUUAACAGGGACAGUUGGGGCCGUUUAUAUUUCGUUGUCAGAGGUGAAAUUCUUGGAUUUACGAAAGAUAAACUUCUGCGAAAGCAUUCGGCAAGGAUGUUUUCAUUGAUCAAGAACGAAAGUUAGGGGAUCGAAGACGAUCAGAUACCGUCGUAGUCUUAACCAUAAACUAUGCCGACUAGGGAUCAGUGGAUGUCAAUUUGCGACUCCAUUGGCACCUUGUGAGAAAUCAAAGUUUUUGGGUUCCGGGGGGAGUAUGGUCGCAAGGCUGAAACUUAAAGGAAUUGACGGAAGGGCACCACCAGGAGUGGAGCCUGCGGCUUAAUUUGACUCAACACGGGGAAACUUACCAGGUCCAG
rnacentral:rRNA from 1 species